AGUGAACGCUGGCGGUAGGCCUAACACAUGCAAGUCGAACGGCAGCACAGUAAGAGCUUGCUCUUACGGGUGGCGAGUGGCGGACGGGUGAGGAAUACAUCGGAAUCUACUUUUUCGUGGGGGAUAACGUAGGGAAACUUACGCUAAUACCGCAUACGACCUACGGGUGAAAGCAGGGGAUCUUCGGACCUUGCGCGAUUGAAUGAGCCGAUGUCGGAUUAGCUAGUUGGCGGGGUAAAGGCCCACCAAGGCGACGAUCCGUAGCUGGUCUGAGAGGAUGAUCAGCCACACUGGAACUGAGACACGGUCCAGACUCCUACGGGAGGCAGCAGUGGGGAAUAUUGGACAAUGGGCGCAAGCCUGAUCCAGCAAUACCGCGUGGGUGAAGAAGGCCUUCGGGUUGUAAAGCCCUUUUGUUGGGAAAGAAAAGCAGCAGGUUAAUACCCCGCUGUUCUGACGGUACCCGAAGAAUAAGCACCGGCUAACUUCGUG
rnacentral:rRNA from 1 species